AGGAUUCUCCUAGUAACGGCGAGUGAACGGAGAUUAGCCCAUCACCGAAGUCCGGUGCUUUUGCACGCAGGACAAUGUGGUGUUCGAGCUUGUGCCUGGAACUGCGAACCUACCCGAAGUCCAACUCCGAUUGUGGCUUUGGAUUUUGCCCAGAGCGGGUGAUAGGCCCGUACGGGUAGGUUCUUGCUUGUAUAGCAGUUCUCAGAUGCACUUGCUUUCGAGUCGGAUUGCUUGAGAAUGCAGUCCAAAGUGGGUGGUAAACUCCAUCCAAGGCUAAAUACUGGCACGAGUCCGAUAGUAGACAAGUACCGUGAGGGAAAGUUGAAAAGUACUCUGAAGAGAGAGUAAAUAGUACGUGAAACCGGUUGCAGGGAAGCUGGUGGAGUCAAGCUUCAUGCUUGGAGGAUUUGUGGCUGCGGCUUUGUGGUUAAGCGCACGGCUAACUAACUUGGAAAGAGUUGGGCGCAUUCUUGUGCUUCAAGUCAAUCUGGGUUGCUUGUUUGUAUUGGCCGUGUUGCUUUGUCGCAGUUGCUCUAUCCUCCGCUGCAUAAAUCAUGGUCGGUAGUAUUUUCUUGCGUGCUAUGCGGUUGUCUAACUGUGCUUUGGUGGGCUUCAUGCUUGCUGGGUGCAGGAUGGCAGGUGGUGUCUGUUGGCCUCGUGUCUACAGUCGCUUAUAGUGGUUUUGACCAGCUGAUGAUCGCAUAGUAUCGUUACUACUGUUGUUAAUCAUUAUCCAGUCUUCGGACUCGUAAUGGUGAGAACCAUGAUUCUGAGGUAGA
rnacentral:rRNA from 1 species